UACGGGGGGGGCAAGCGUUGUUCGGAAUUACUGGGCGUAAAGGGCUCGUAGGUGGCCAACUAAGUCAGACGUGAAAUCCCUCGGCUUAACCGGGGAACUGCGUCUGAUACUGGAUGGCUUGAGUUUGGGAGAGGGACGCGGAAUUCCAGGUGUAGCGGUGAAAUGCGUAGAUAUCUGGAGGAACACCGGUGGCGAAGGCGGCAUCCUGGACCGGUAUUGACGCUGAGGCGCGAAAGCCAGGGGAGCAAACGGG
rnacentral:rRNA from 1 species